UAUUUGUUAUUUUUUGUAAUAAAAUGAUAAUAAGUCAUUGAACCCUUCUGUCUACUCAACUCAUAUAAACUCAAUUUAUUUUAAAUGAAUGUAAUGGAUGUAACACAUCUCAUACUAAGUUUCAACAACGGAUCUCUUGGCUCUCGCAUCGAUGAAAAACGCAACGAAAUGCGAUAAGUAAUGUGAAUUGCAAAAUUCAGUGAAUCAUCGAAUCUUUGAACGCACCUUGCGCUCCUUGGUAUUCCUUGGAGCAUG
rnacentral:rRNA from 1 species